rnacentral:lncRNA from 1 species
AUGAGUACAGCUCUCAAAGUGGAAGAAAAGAUCAAUCUUUCUUUUCCCCAGUGGUCUCGUAUUUUUAAAUGUAAGUUGUAUUUUCUUUCUGGAUUUGAAAGCAUUGCUCUACCCACACCCUCAAGAAAUUCAAAUCCUCUUGACAGCCGUAUCCCACUCACAUUUGCUUAUAGGUCCAAAUAAAAACAUGUUCUCUUCUCUUGUAGAUGAGUCAUCAGUGAAUCAUAAAAUAUUGCAAAUAUUCUG